ACUAAGCGUACACGGUGGAUGCCCUGGCAGUCAGAGGCGAUGAAGGACGUGCUAAUCUGCGAUAAGCGUCGGUAAGGUGAUAUGAACCGUUAUAACCGGCGAUUUCCGAAUGGGGAAACCCAGUGUGUUUCGACACACUAUCAUUAACUGAAUCCAUAGGUUAAUGAGGCGAACCGGGGGAACUGAAACAUCUAAGUACCCCGAGGAAAAGAAAUCAACCGAGAUUCCCCCAGUAGCGGCGAGCGAACGGGGAGCAGCCCAGAGCCUGAAUCAGUGUGUGUGUUAGUGGAAGCGUCUGGAAAGGCGCGCGAUACAGGGUGACAGCCCCGUACACAAAAAUGCACAUGCUGUGAGCUCGAUGAGUAGGGCGGGACACGUGGUAUCCUGUCUGAAUAUGGGGGGACCAUCCUCCAAGGCUAAAUACUCCUGACUGACCGAUAGUGAACCAGUACCGUGAGGGAAAGGCGAAAAGAACCCCGGCGAGGGGAGUGAAAAAGAACCUGAAACCGUGUACGUACAAGCAGUGGGAGCACGCUUAGGCGUGUGACUGCGUACCUUUUGUAUAAUGGGUCAGCGACUUAUAUUCUGUAGCAAGGUUAACCGAAUAGGGGAGCCGAAGGGAAACCGAGUCUUAACUGGGCGUUAAGUUGCAGGGUAUAGACCCGAAACCCGGUGAUCUAGCCAUGGGCAGGUUGAAGGUUGGGUAACACUAACUGGAGGACCGAACCGACUAAUGUUGAAAAAUUAGCGGAUGACUUGUGGCUGGGGGUGAAAGGCCAAUCAAACCGGGAGAUAGCUGGUUCUCCCCGAAAGCUAUUUAGGUAGCGCCUCGUGAAUUCAUCUCCGGGGGUAGAGCACUGUUUCGGCAAGGGGGUCAUCCCGACUUACCAACCCGAUGCAAACUGCGAAUACCGGAGAAUGUUAUCACGGGAGACACACGGCGGGUGCUAACGUCCGUCGUGAAGAGGGAAACAACCCAGACCGCCAGCUAAGGUCCCAAAGUCAUGGUUAAGUGGGAAACGAUGUGGGAAGGCCCAGACAGCCAGGAUGUUGGCUUAGAAGCAGCCAUCAUUUAAAGAAAGCGUAAUAGCUCACUGGUCGAGUCGGCCUGCGCGGAAGAUGUAACGGGGCUAAACCAUGCACCGAAGCUGCGGCAGCGACGCUUAUGCGUUGUUGGGUAGGGGAGCGUUCUGUAAGCCUGCGAAGGUGUGCUGUGAGGCAUGCUGGAGGUAUCAGAAGUGCGAAUGCUGACAUAAGUAACGAUAAAGCGGGUGAAAAGCCCGCUCGCCGGAAGACCAAGGGUUCCUGUCCAACGUUAAUCGGGGCAGGGUGAGUCGACCCCUAAGGCGAGGCCGAAAGGCGUAGUCGAUGGGAAACAGGUUAAUAUUCCUGUACUUGGUGUUACUGCGAAGGGGGGACGGAGAAGGCUAUGUUGGCCGGGCGACGGUUGUCCCGGUUUAAGCGUGUAGGCUGGUUUUCCAGGCAAAUCCGGAAAAUCAAGGCUGAGGCGUGAUGACGAGGCACUACGGUGCUGAAGCAACAAAUGCCCUGCUUCCAGGAAAAGCCUCUAAGCAUCAGGUAACAUCAAAUCGUACCCCAAACCGACACAGGUGGUCAGGUAGAGAAUACCAAGGCGCUUGAGAGAACUCGGGUGAAGGAACUAGGCAAAAUGGUGCCGUAACUUCGGGAGAAGGCACGCUGAUAUGUAGGUGAAGCGACUUGCUCGUGGAGCUGAAAUCAGUCGAAGAUACCAGCUGGCUGCAACUGUUUAUUAAAAACACAGCACUGUGCAAACACGAAAGUGGACGUAUACGGUGUGACGCCUGCCCGGUGCCGGAAGGUUAAUUGAUGGGGUUAGCGCAAGCGAAGCUCUUGAUCGAAGCCCCGGUAAACGGCGGCCGUAACUAUAACGGUCCUAAGGUAGCGAAAUUCCUUGUCGGGUAAGUUCCGACCUGCACGAAUGGCGUAAUGAUGGCCAGGCUGUCUCCACCCGAGACUCAGUGAAAUUGAACUCGCUGUGAAGAUGCAGUGUACCCGCGGCAAGACGGAAAGACCCCGUGAACCUUUACUAUAGCUUGACACUGAACAUUGAGCCUUGAUGUGUAGGAUAGGUGGGAGGCUUAGAAGUGUGGACGCCAGUCUGCAUGGAGCCGACCUUGAAAUACCACCCUUUAAUGUUUGAUGUUCUAACGUUGACCCGUAAUCCGGGUUGCGGACAGUGUCUGGUGGGUAGUUUGACUGGGGCGGUCUCCUCCUAAAGAGUAACGGAGGAGCACGAAGGUUGGCUAAUCCUGGUCGGACAUCAGGAGGUUAGUGCAAUGGCAUAAGCCAGCUUGACUGCGAGCGUGACGGCGCGAGCAGGUGCGAAAGCAGGUCAUAGUGAUCCGGUGGUUCUGAAUGGAAGGGCCAUCGCUCAACGGAUAAAAGGUACUCCGGGGAUAACAGGCUGAUACCGCCCAAGAGUUCAUAUCGACGGCGGUGUUUGGCACCUCGAUGUCGGCUCAUCACAUCCUGGGGCUGAAGUAGGUCCCAAGGGUGUUGCUGUUCGCCAUUUAAAGUGGUACGCGAGCUGGGUUUAGAACGUCGUGAGACAGUUCGGUCCCUAUCUGCCGUGGGCGCUGGAGAACUGAGGGGGGCUGCUCCUAGUACGAGAGGACCGGAGUGGACGCAUCACUGGUGUUCGGGUUGUCAUGCCAAUGGCACUGCCCGGUAGCUAAAUGCGGAAGAGAUAAGUGCUGAAAGCAUCUAAGCACGAAACUUGCCCCGAGAUGAGUUCUCCCUGACCCUUUAAGGGUCCUGAAGGAACGUUGAAGACGACGACGUUGAUAGGCCGGGUGUGUAAGCGCAGCGAUGCGUUGAGCUAACCGGUACUAAUGAACCGUGAGGCUUAACC
rnacentral:rRNA from 1 species